rnacentral:lncRNA from 1 species
UCAAAUAAAAAAAACAAGUAAAUAGAUGGAGAUAUGAAUACUCACUCUCAACUCUGAAGGCGUCUUUCUUUUGAUCGUAUUGGUGGCCUUCAAAGAAGCACCACUCAUUGCAACCGUAGCCAUUUUUACCAAUACAAUUACAAGUCAACCAUAGGUCACUUAUUAUCUAUCUUUGGGGCUGAUUGGUAACCUCUGAAUGAUUUUCAAAGACUCUGAAUGAAAACAUGUUGUUUGAUAAUGUUGCUGAAUGCGAAAAAUUACCCUUUUACCAUUAUUUGAUGGUAUGUUUAGGAUCUCAAAUUUCAAGGCUACAUCAACACUACAUUUAAUUAUCAUAAGAAAUAUGAAUCUUAGGGUGCGUUUAGUUGCGGAAAAAUGAGCCGUUUUUCGGAAAAUUUUUCCAAGAAAAAUGAGAAUUUUGAAAACGCGUUUAGUUCGUCUAUUUUUCUAAAUUUUUCACGGAAAAUGAAAAUUUUCCGUUUUCUAAAAUUACAAACAAGUUGGAAAAUUUUGGAAAACUGAUAAUCAUUGUUUUCCAUAUUUUUCUAAUUCCAAAAUUUUUCUAUAAACACACACCCACUUCACCUCAUCCACUUCUACCUACCCCCACCUUAACACCCCUCACCCACACCCACACACAUACAUACCCACCCACCCCCCCCCCCCCCCCCCCCCCNNNNNNNNNNNNNNNNNNNNNNNNNCCACACACCCACCCGCACACACACACACACACACCAACCCCCACACACACAUACAUACCCAUCCACACACACACACACUCACAAACACACACACAUACAUACAUACCUACCCAUACACACCCACCAACAUACACAUGCACACACCAACCUACACACACACACACACCUACAAACACACACACUUACACAUACAUACCCACCCACCCCCACACACAUACACAUACAUACACACCCACCCACACACACACACCCACCCACAAACACACACACACACCCCAACCCACAAACACACACACAUACAUACCCACCCAUACAUACACACACGUACAUACCCACACACCCACACACACACCCACACCUACCCCCACCCUCACAGACACACACACCCACACACACACAAACCUACACCUACCCCCACAAACACACAAACACAUACUCACACCCCCACCCACCGAACACCACCACAACAAUCAUCGACCUACCAUCACCACCACCACCACUAACCCGUCACUAGCACCACCACCAUCACCACCACUGAUAAAAUUGACGCCGCCACCACCAUCGCCUGUCAUCACAACCACCGCCGCCGACCUGCUACCGUCACCGCCCCCACCCACACCCUACUACCACUACCGUUUUUUAAAAAUGAAAACCGAUAGAAAAAUAGACAUUUAAACACGUUUUCUAAUUUUCUAAAACUGAAAAUGAAAAAUGAAUAAGUUUAACUAAACGCGUUCUCUAAAUUUUUCAAUGAAAAAUGAAAACGGAAAACGAAAAUCGAAAAGGAAAAACAAAAAACGGAAAAUGAAAAUUGUUUUUCCGUAACUAAACGCAACCUUAGUUUCUUAUUUUAAUCUAAUUUUUUGAUUCAUUUUACACGCUCACCCAUUCGACUCAUAUGAAUUGGAUUCUGAAAUUGAAACCAACAUAAAAAAAUACAACAUUAUAUAUAAAAAAGAACCAAUGAGCCAAACAAAAUUAGAUAUUCAAAAUAUGUACAACUUCCCGAUGACAACGGCUCAAGUUCUCAACCCAUACGCUGAAACACAUUUACACAAGGGGUCCAAAAUUUAGUAGCACAGACAAGUCGGUUUACUUUGUAUUCAGGAAAGGAAUCAUGCGUUAAGAUUAAAGACAUUAACAACAAAUGGUUUCGUGGUUUGCAGGGUUGUAAACAGUGAAGCCCUAGAUAGUCAAUACCUGAUUGAAUGUGAGAAGGGACGAAGAUUAGGAUUCCGAAUCGAGUAGAUAAUAGUAGUGACUACGUUUCCCUCCUUUCUCCGGCUUUAGAUUUUUUCAAAUCAAUUUUCUUUCUUUGCCCUCAGUUCUGUCUUUUACAGGGAUAGAAGUAAAAAUAAGCCGAAGCAAAUGAUAAAAAAAAUAUAAAUAAAAAUAGUAAUAGUGCUCUCCUGGUUCUUAAUAGAAUGCAAUGGAAAGAAUAAGAAAAAAGAUCCUGAUAAUCU